rnacentral:rRNA from 1 species
AGUACGGCGAGUGAAGCGGCAACAGCUCAAAUUUGAAUCUGGCUACUUCGUAGUCCGAGUUGUAAUUUGUAGAGGAUGCUUUUGGUGAAGUGCUUUCUGAGUUCCCUGGAACGGGACGCCAGAGAGGGUGAGAGCCCCGUACAGUUAGCAACUGAUCCUUUGUAUAGCUCCUUCGACGAGUCGAGUAGUUUGGGAAUGCUGCUCUAAAUGGGAGGUAUAUCUCUUCUAAAGCUAAAUAUAGGCUAGAGACCGAUAGCGCACAAGUAGAGUGAUCGAAAGAUGAAAAGCACUUUGAAAAGAGAGUUAAACAGCACGUGAAAUUGUUGAAAGGGAAGCGCCUAUGACCAGACUUGUCUCUAUCAGUUUUGGUAGUUUUCGGACUGCUUUACUCUGUUAGUACAGGCCAACAUCAGUUUGUUGUCGGGGAGAAAGGCUUAGGGAAUGUGGCUCCUUCGGGAGUGUUAUAGCCCUUUGCAUAAUACCCUUCGGCAGACUGAGGACCGCGCUUCGGCAAGGAUGUUGGCGUAAUGGUCAUCAGCGACCCG